rnacentral:rRNA from 1 species
AUUGAACGCUGGAGGCAGGCCUAACACAUGCAAGUCGAACGAGUGGCGGACGGGUGAGUAAUGUCUGGGAAACUGCCUGAUGGAGGGGGAUAACUACUGGAAACGGUAGCUAAUACCGCAUAACAUCAGAUGUGCCCAGAUGGGUUUAGCUUGUUGCUGGGGUAACAGCUCACCAAGGCGACGAUCCCUAGCUGGUAUGAGGGGAUGACCAGCCACACUGGAACUGCGACACGGUCCAGACUCCUACGAGAGGCAGCAGUGGGGAAUAGUGCACAAUAGGCGCAAGCCUGAUGCAGCCAUGCCGCGUUGAUGACGAAGGCCUUCGGGUUGUAAAGUACUUACAGCGAGGAGGAGUUACCCGCAGAAAAAGCACCGGCUAACUCCGUGCCAGCCGCCGCAGUAAUAC